rfam:Cryptococcus neoformans var. neoformans JEC21 chromosome 6 sequence.
GCCCUCAUGGUGUAGUGGUAACACGAAGGUCUCAUAUGAAGUUAGCUUAAUGGUUGACAUCUAAUCCUCAGCUCUGAGUUCGAUUCUCAGUGAGGGCA